AUUGAACGCUGGCGGCAGGCCUAACACAUGCAAGUCGAACGAGUGGCGGACGGGUGAGUAAUGUCUGGGAAACUGCCUGAUGGAGGGGGAUAACUACUGGAAACGGUAGCUAAUACCGCAUACCAUCAGAUGUGCCCAGAUGGGAUUAGCUUGUUGGUGGGGUAACAGCUAACCAAGGCGACGAGCCCUAGCUGGUCUGAGAGGAUGACCAGCGACACUGUAACUGAGACAAGGUCUAGACUCAUACGGGAGGCAGCAGUGGGGAAUAUUGGACAAUGGGCGCAAGCCUGAUGCAGCCAGGCCGCGUGUAUGAAGUAGGCCUUCGGGUUGUAAAGUACUGUCAGCGGGGAGGCGUUACCCGCAGAAGAAGCAACGGCUAACUCCGUGCCAGCAGCCGCGGUGAUUG
rnacentral:rRNA from 1 species